UACGGAGGGUGCAAGCGUUAUCCGGAUUUACUGGGUUUAAAGGGUGCGUAGGCGGGACGUCAAGUCAGUGGUGAAAGCCUGCAGCUUAACUGUAGAAUUGCCAUUGAUACUGCCGUCCUUGAAUUUAGUUGAGGUGGGCGGAAUGCAGCAUGUAGCGGUGAAAUGCUUAGAUAUGCUGCAGAACACCGAUUGCGAAGGCAGCUCACUAAACUAACAUUGACGCUGAGGCACGAAAGCGUGGGUAGCGAACAGG
rnacentral:rRNA from 1 species